UCUCCGUAGGUGAACCUGCGGAAGGAUCAUUAUCGUAUAACCGAGGUGCGAGGGCUGUCGCUGACCCGAAAGGUCGUGCACGCCCGAGUGCCCUCACACACAUCCAUCUCACCCCUAUGUGCACCACCGCGUGAGUCCCCCUUUGGCUUGUUCGGAGGGGGGCUUACGUUUUCACACAAACUUUGUAUGCAGUGUAGAAUGUAUUUUUUGUUUUUGCGAUCACGCAAUCAGUACAACUUUCAACAACGGAUCUCUUGGCUCUC
rnacentral:misc_RNA from 1 species